CUGCAGCCCGAGUGGUGAUCGAUUUUAUUGAGCCUAAAGCAUCCGUAGCCGGACUAGUAAACCCUUGGGUAAAUUGGGCAGCUUAACUGUCCAAAUUCCGAGGGGACUGCUAGUCUUGGGACCGGGAGAGGUCAGAGGUACUCAAGGGGUAGGGGCUAAAUCCUGUAAUCCUUUGGGGACCACCAGUGGCGAAGGCGUCUGACUAGAACGGAUCCGACGGUAAGGGACGAAACCCUGGGGCGCGAACCGGAUUAGAUACCCGAGUAGUCC
rnacentral:rRNA from 1 species